UUCCAGCAUUCAAAUAAACUGGACUGGGAAAUAAAAACAGAUAAAGCCAGGCAUGAGGGAGAAAAAUAUCAUACAUCAAUAUCUGGGGUAUAACACAGAAGUGAAAAAUACCUGAUGCCCCCACCAGUGCAUAGAGGGAAUCCUCCAUUCUUCAUGGACUGCACACACCCUACAAUCUCUUUACCUCUAACAAUUUGGGGGCUGAUAUUACUUGCUGGCCCCAUAAACUGGGAAAUUGUACUAAAUGAAGAUGAUAAGCCUCAUGGAUUUUCCCUCAGACAUAUGGCACUGGAUGAUAGCAUCCAUGGAAACCUGCACAGAGGAAAUGCUCGGGUUCACUGGCUCGGGAGCUCUGCUCCCACAGCAGUUGCCAACACCAGACCCUGCAACUGCUUCUUAUGUUCACACACGGUGGCAAAUCCUCACGAGCAGCUCUGAAACAAAACUAACUGUAAAACAGGUUUUUUAAUCUUCUCUGAGGAAAUGUGACACUUCAGGGCUUGAAACCUGGCUGAGCACUUCAUACUCCACAUCAGUGACCGAGGCAAUCUCGUGCCUUUGGCACGGUUCGUUUCCCCACGGCACGCGGAACCAAUCCUGAGGGAAUAAACUGUGCAAAAUGGCUGCAGUUAUACACAAAAAGGGAACUGUUUAGCAGGGAUAAACUUUGCUCAUACUACAGGAUGCAAGCACUGCUUAAUCAAAGAGCAAGGAUCAAUAGGGCUGGCUUGGAAACCAGCACAUUCCACUCCUGACAAUUCCCAUCAAUUCACUGGGUGGUCCUGGAUGUGUCAUUUAAGCUCUUUCUCCCUUGUGUGAUAGGGAAAAUAGAGGAACAGUGAGGCUUCCUUGCUGUUGUAGCUUUGAUCCAAGACUAGAUUGUACUUCAGCAGCAUUUUAUUCAAAUAUCAGGUGCCAAAGAACCCAUUGCAGCCAGGAAACAAGGUAUAGGUGUGACAGCAGAACAGUUUUUCAAGGCAGAAAGGCAACUCUAAAAGAUAAGGAAAGUUUUUAAAAAAAGGUCUAAAAAUACUUGAAUGUUAAGUCAGCUCUUCUGAAAACAGACUAGGAAGUCUCAGCUAGAGGACUGUCCAUCAGAGCAAAACCAAAGAGGCUGCAGGUGGAUUUACAGUGAGAUCUUGUAAAAGGAAGAAAAAAUUGAUGUUUUUAUGGGGGAACUUCAGAAAAAUUAAAGUAUGAAUGUUCACACAUAACAUUCCUGGACACUGGAGAUUCUGUUAAUCAGAACAAAGUGGCUUUUUUCUGAAAUACUCUAAACAACAAACUGAAAAGCAGCAAUUUUCAACCAAACUAGAAUUAUUCUAGAGAAUCAAGAAGGAAGUAAAAGAAGCCUCACCUCAUACAUCCAUGGACUUGGAGAGUCCACAUACUAUAUAUUUAGAGAAAACUCAAAGGAGUUUAAGACAUUAAGUACAACUGUAAAACAACAGCAUUUACAUUGAGAUGCAACCUCACUUAAAUGAAAAUUUGUAAAAACCAACAAACAACAGGGUUCUUUUCUGUCUUCUCUCUGACUCGAGCAGCCACCCUGACAAACUGCUCCGACACAGGAGAGGGGAUGUACAACAAGGAAAACUCAUUAAGCAGGAGCAGCGAGUGAGCUCCCGGCUGGAUGCGUUUCCCAAGGAGAACCAACUCAAACACGCCACACGAACACAGCCGCCUGUCACUCAAACCAACAGCAGUUCCACCACCUCCCCGAAGAGCUGUGGUCUGUUUUUAGCCAUUGAAGGAGGACAGUGACAUUUAUUUGACCGUCAGAAGGCUGCUGUGUUUCCCGACAGCAUCAAUGGAACAAUGACUCUGGAGGGGAGUAAAUCCUACGGCUGAAAAUACCCAAUGCAUGAAGGGGCUGAGGGCAGAGUUCGCAGCUUCGUACGUCAGAGGACUGGACUGAUGGGGAAGUCGGCAAGUAACCGUAUUUCCACCUAUAUGGAGCUUUCAUCUAAGACAAUUCGGGUUACUACACUGGGUUACUUCUCAUCAAACCCGAAAGCAAAACACAACAAAACCCAUUCCUAAACCAUGCACUAAAUUGCAAAGUAAGCAACACCUCUGGUUUCCGUAACUAAAAAAUGAGAAACUUCGCAAAGGGUUGAUAACGGAUGUAACGAGUCGGAGAGAGACCGCCAACUUUAAUCAGUUGUUUUUCUUAAUUUAUCUGAAAGCAGCUCCAGUGCAACUGCUGCACAAAGCGUGCGGUCCGGGAAGCGGAGCGGGAGGGGAAGCACCGCAACCCAGGCAGCGCUGCGGGGCCCCGGGCCCGGCCCUUCGCACCUGACACCGGAGUGAACCGAAACCCCGAAAUACACUCCGGUGAUCUCGCGCUCACCGCCCUGCGGGGCUGCCCGCGGCACACGCGGCUUCUGCGGCCCCGAGCAUCCUCUGCGGGGAAGAUCCGCUACGAUCCAACAAACCCUGCACUGUCCGGCGGAGGUAAAA